UACGGAGGGUGCAAGCGUUAUCCGGAUUCACUGGGUUUAAAGGGUGCGUAGGUGGGUUGGUAAGUCAGUGGUGAAAUCUCCGUGCUUAACAUGGAAACUGCCAUUGAUACUACUGAUCUUGAAUUUUCUGGAGGUAAGCGGAAUAUGUCAUGUAGCGGUGAAAUGCUUAGAUAUGACAUAGAACUCCAAUUGCGAAGGCAGCUUACUACAGGGACAUUGACACUGAGGCACGAAAGCGUGGGGAUCAAACAGG
rnacentral:rRNA from 1 species